CUUUGACCUCAAAUCAGGUAGGACUACCCGCUGAACUUAA
rnacentral:rRNA from 6 species